rnacentral:rRNA from 1 species
GACGAACGCUGGCGGCGUGCUUAACACAUGCAAGUCGAACGAUGAUGCUGGAGCUUGCUCCAGUUGAUUAGUGGCGAACGGGUGAGUAACACGUGAGCAAUCUGCCCUUGACUCUGGGAUAACUGCGGGAAACUGUAGCUAAUACCGGAUACUUUCACCGGAAGGCAUCUUCUGGUGAUGAAAGAAUUUCGGUCAGGGAUGAGCUCGCGGCCUAUCAGCUUGUUGGUGAGGUAACGGCUCACCAAGGCGACGACGGGUAGCCGGCCUGAGAGGGUGACGGGCCACACUGGGACUUAGACACGGACCAGACUCCUACGGGGGGCAGCAGUGGGGAAUAUUGCACAAUGGGCGCAAGCCUGAGGCAGCAACGCCGCGUGAGGGAUGAAGGCCUUCGGGUUGUAAACCUCUUUUAGCAGGGAAGAAGCGAAAGUGACGGUACCUGCAGAAAAAGCACCGGCUAACUACGUGCCAGCAGCCGCCGUAA